rnacentral:rRNA from 1 species
CCUACGGUGCGCAGCAGUGGGGAAUAUUGCACAAUGGGGGAAACCCUGAUGCAGCGACGCCGCGUGCGUGAAGAAGCGCCUCGGCGCGUAACGCUCUGUCAGCAGGAACGAUAAUGCCGGUACCUGAAGAAGAAGCCCCGGCUAACUACGUGCCAGCAGCCGCGGUAAUACGUAGGGGGCAAGCGUUAUCCGGAUGUACUGGGUGUAACGGGAUCGUAGACGGCGGGGCAAGUCUGGAGUGACCGGCCGGGGCCCAACCCCGGGACCGCUCUGGAACCUGCCAGGCUGGAGUGCGGGAGAGGUAAGCGGAAUUCCUAGUGUAGCGGUGAAAUGCGGAGAUAUUAGGAGGAACACCAGCGGCGAAGGCGGCUUACUGGACCGUGACUGACGUUGAGGCUCGAAAGCGUGGGGAGCAAACAGGAUUAGAUACCCGUGUAGUC